ACAAUUGUUCGUGUACCCAAACAGCCGGGCUCUCAACUCACCCACUUCCCCUUCCCAAUAAAACCCUACAUGCGUGAUCACCAAUCUCCAUUCGCCGCCUCAAAUCCUGCAAUGAGACUGUACACGUCGUCGUUUUAGCGUCAGGUUACCCAUUUGGUUCUCCGUGUGCUGCUCGCUCAUGGUGGAAGUUCUUGCUGUUAAUUGUUCUCUUGCUAGUCUACUAUCUUUUCUUGUUUUUCUCGUAUUACUGAAUGAAUCCCUAUGAAGAACGUCUUAUUGAAAUAAAAGUAGUGGCCUGAUGUCCAUUGAUGAUAGCCUUGUUCUGAGGGAUUGCGUAAUCAUGUUUCAAAUCCUUCAUGUUCCGUGAGCUAUAGAUUCUUUGGCUUAAUGCACAAACGUGCAUUUGGCUGAUGCCAGCCUCGCUCCAAAGUUUGUUUCUGUUUUCCUAAUAAUUUUAAUUUUUCCGGCAAAGAGAAGUGUUUUUAAUUUGAUUCACUUUCUUUUUUUAAGAUCAAGAUUUUGUAGCAUCCCCGUGAUGAUAUUUUCCACAAUUUUAACGUUAAAAGUAGACUGAAAUCCCUUGAUGAGAGAAUUGGUUCUGAGGGAUGUGCUACAUUUGUUGUUUGGAGAAAAAUCCCCAACAUCAAUAGCAUAAUAUCAUUUUCAAAGCUAAAGUUCAACUUUUUAUGGUAGAUGUACGUAAAGUUUCUCACAUCCUUGUUUCAUGUUAAGUAAAUUACCUUAAAUUCUUCACCUCAUCCUGUUUUUAUUCCCUCUGAAGAAGAUGCUGAUUGAUUAAAAGCAGUGGACUGAUACUCAUUGAUGAGUGAAUUGAGAUCUUCAUGGUUAUGGUUAUUGAUUGAUAGUCAUCUCCAGAAACCCAAGUCAAUUAUGUCAGGCCAACUACUGAUGCCAGAAGAUGUAUGCGGACUGGACGGCACUUAAUGGUGAUGAGAGAAAAUGCAAGUCUGGCUGUUGUAGGCAAGCAAUUUCUUCCAGAGAAAGAGAAGCAGAUAGAACUGCUGAAAGUGGCAAUAUUUUGAUAUUUGCAACUCUUUCUGAACUUCAGAGAAAUGAAUGUAGAGGAGGAUCUUGCUUAAGUUAAAGCUGCAAAACUCCUG